rnacentral:lncRNA from 1 species
ACUUUUGGAAAUUCUGUCCCGGUUGACCUAUCAACUCCUUCAACCUCUAGUUCCACCUUAUCUAGGGAUGGCAACAGGUCAGGUAGGGGCCGGGUAUGACAAUACCAUCACCGUUCCCACUCUCCAACCCUGCCCCCGUCCCCGAACCCAUCCCCGUUUAAUAGGUUUCGGGGAAUCCCCAUCCCCGUUCCCGUCGAGGGACUAUUCCC